GGCGGGGUAGCUCAGUUGGUUAGAGCGUAGGAUUCAUAACCCUAAGGUGGGCAGUUCGAUCCUGCUCCCCGCUA
rnacentral:tRNA from 1 species